rnacentral:rRNA from 1 species
UACGUAGGUGGCAAGCGUUGUCCGGAAUUAUUGGGCGUAAAGGGCGCGUAGGCGGUUCGUACAGUCAGACGUGAAAUUCCUGGGCUCAACCUGGGGGCUGCGUUUGAUACGUGCGGACUUGAGUGCGGAAGAGGGUCGUGGAAUUCCCAGUGUAGAGGUGAAAUUCGUAGAUAUUGGGAAGAACACCGGUGGCGAAGGCAGCCCCCUGGGCUGAGAUUGACGCUCAGGCACGAAAGCGUGGGGAGCAAACAGG